UACGUAGGUGGCAAGCGUUGUCCGGAUUUACUGGGCGUAAAGCGCGUGUAGGCGGCUCGUUAAGUCUGUCGUGAAAUCUCCCGGCUUAACCGGGAUAGGGCGACGGAUACUGGCGGGCUUGAGGGGAGCAGAGGAAGGUGGAAUUCCCGGUGUAGCGGUGAAAUGCGCAGAUAUCAGGAAGAACACCAAUGGCGAAGGCAGCUCUCUGGGACGGUACUGACGCUGAGACGCGAAAGCGUGGGGAGCGAACAGG
rnacentral:rRNA from 1 species